CUUAAGAAAUCUCGCAAAUGCUGAGGCCUCGGUGCACAUCUGGGGGUGACUGCGGAGGCCCUGGAAUUUGGAAGUUGGCAAAUCCCAUAGGAGGAGAAAGGGGCGUGCUGAACAGAGAUUUCAAGACACAGGAAAGGGACUUCCAAGCGUUCUGCUCCGUGAUGUGAGAUCGCCGAGCCACUCAGGAAGCAGAGGCAGGGGCCUGCAUCCCUGGUUUGUUUCUGUCCUGGUCCUGAGAAAGGUUUCCCUGCCCUCUUUGGGUUUAGGGUUGCUGGGGUCAAGCUUUCGCCUUCAUCCGGGACUGUACUCUGUGUUCUUUAGGUGACAGUGAAUAAGUAUUUUUUCAUCUGGCAAAAUAAAAUAAAAAGGAAUGUUUACAUCGCCUGUCUAACCAGGAUUUCCAUUUCUUCUCCAGAAUGCAUUCAGCACCAUCUCAGGUGAGGAACAAGACAAGAGAAUUAAUCGGAUUGUCUGAGGAUUUGAAAAAGUGAAUUCCAAGAGAACUGGGGUAUAGAUGUAAGAGUGAGGAAUUUUAAAUUGCAGAGUGGACUCAAGCCCUCCUCCCAUUAUCUAUCUACCUAUCUAUCAUCUACGAUCUAUCUAUCUCUCUAUCUAAGGAGAUUUCAAAAUGCAGCAAGCAAGUCUAGCUAAGACAAUCUCUUUUUAAAACGGGCUUGGGAGGCCAUAAGGGAAGGGGAAUAUUUGCACGUCCUUAUUGUAGGAGCCAAGAACUUUUAAAAAGAGCUUUUAGCCAACCCUCAGCCGGGACCUAACUUCCUCCUCAAGACACCUGAAUCAUCUUCACUCUUCAUCUCAGAAAGAGCCCAUGCAAUUAACAUGGUUCAGUCCCUUAUUUGUAUAUGAACCUGACCAAUCCCAGCUAGCCUAGUUGCAAUGCCUCCUUUGCACAGAGGACCUGAAUGAGGACUGCACAUCUAGCCCUACCCCUUCUUUGUCUUCCUUAGGACAGGGUCGCGGUUUCUUCCUGAAUCUGUGUCUCCUCAAUUCCAACUCUAGCAGCACAAGUGAAUGCUUGUUGGCUUAAAUUUUCAUGACUUCUUUCUUGGUCCACACUAUUUAUCUAUCAUCUAUCAACUACCUUUGAUCUGAAGAAUCCAGUGUUGCCACUUUCCCACUCCAGAGGGUUAGGAAAAAGCAAUGAGUAAGUAGAAACAGGUUGUUGGGAUAACCACUGUGACUUAGGCCAGAUUCGUGUUUAUUCUGGAGAGUAAAUGUUGUUCCUCUGGUUCUGGGGGUCAGCAGUGUGAUGGUGGACACGAACCCACUUGGUGGCUACGAGCCCACAUUUUAUUACAAACUAGAUAUAGAAAUAGUUUCUCUGUGAUCUGAAAUGGAGCCCUCCCCACCCACCCCCUGGAGCGAAACACAGCAGCUGCCCGACAGAGACACAUCAAGAGAGAAGAGCAAAGGUGUGCGUCCAAGACAAAGGAAGGAGCUGAGGAGUAAGACGGCUGGGGGUGGGGAAGGGGAGAAUGGAGGAAGGGCUUUCGUGGGAGAGAAGGAUCUGGUCGGGCCCAGGGGGUCUCCAACCACCUCUGGGCUCUGGGUUGGCAACUGACUCUAGAGAGUGACCCCAGAACUUUUGCAAGGCGUGCCCUCCACGUAGAGCACCAUGGUUUACGGGUCCCCUUCAAGCUCGUUAUGUUAUUUGCCCCUCAGAGACCUCCUGAAUGGGCAGGUCCUGAGCAACGAAGGAAGCAAGCUGAGACCCAGUGAGGCCUACCAGCGAGAAGACUCGCAUGCCGCGCUGGUGCUUUCUAUUCGCAGAGCACUUUAAAAGGGGCAGGGUUUAUCCUUCCCAUGUCCAGACAAGUACACCGAGAUUCUGGGGAGGCCACAGGUCAUGUCCAAGGCCACACUGCAAAUAAUAUGCAGCACUGGGUCUCCUAAUUGCUCAUCCAACCUUUCUUGCUUACCUCUACCAUGUUCCCAGAACAUUUAAUGAUUGACCCAAAAAGGCCACCAACGUGGCUGUAUUUUAAGAGCACAUCAUCUCUAGAUUCUUCUCGGAACUGUCUGCACAGCUCUUUGGCAGCCGUUCAGAGUGCCGCUCCCCAGCGCAAGAGGUGCCUCUCCACGCCUGUGAGUUUCAAACAUCUGGACAGCAGAGCUCAUAUGUCAACGAGAAGCCACCAUCUCCGCCCCGUGAGAACCCUGUUCUUCUUCGUCUGCUUACUUCACCCACGUGCUAACCCCUGGCUCUUCCCCUAAUCCUCAUCUAAGGAGAAGCCGCAGCAGAGCAUCCCAGUAGGCCUGCCAAGCUGAACAUUAGGGAGUCUGCAUUUCCAAGGUGUGCUGUCUCCAAUGUAGGAGGGAUUGGGCUCAGCCUAUGGUUUGGUGGAUGUCUUCUUCACGGGUGUGUUUCCGGGCUAUGCUUCUGCUGAGUUCUGUAGCAGCAGAGGCCACUGAAAAUAUUGGAUCAAAUGGAGGGUCCCACUAUUGUGUUCCCGGUCUGUGCUGAGGGGACAUGCUCACACCCUGAUAGAAAAUGGUAUCGCUAUUGUGUGAUACACCGUGAGUGAGUUUAGUGCAGAUUUGGGGCACUUCCUCUGAGGGAACAUGGUAGUGAGUUCCUGCAAAUGGCCACAGGGUUUGUUGGGGAGAAUGGAGAUAUGUGUCGGGAACCCAAGAGCUCAGAGCCAUGAUCAUGAUGCCAAACAUGGAGGGGAGAGGGAAGACAGUCCGGAGGCAAAGAUUGCAGAGUUCUAGAGUGUUUGGCCACUGCCUUAUGAAUCCACCUCUCCCCUUCUUUUCUCCCCCCAAACCCAAUAAGAAAACAUAGAAGCAAAAGCCAGAGGAGCUGGGGGUCAAGGCAGACUUUAUGUUCAAAGUGCCUACGCAGCCUAGCUCAUGAGGACUGAUCAAAUGCAGAAGGUUUUGUUGGCCGCAGAGGCUCUGUGGUCAGAGGAAUGCACAGGUGGCACCUCUGACUGGUUUAUUUGAGGUUGUUUUGGUUUGGUGACCACAGGACAUUUGCAUCCAUGCUCCCUGAAAAGAAUAUAGGGCCUGGGUAAAUGAGAACAGUCUCGGUAGGAAAACUCAUUUGCUUACAAGAUAAAAAGCGAGUAGAGUACUUCCACAUAACUUGUGGCUCUUGUGAGCAGAGAGACCACUUUUUUAAAAUCCCAAAAUGGAACACAUGGUUCAGCAGGCACUGGUAUAUUUAGGGAAGACAGGGUGGGCUAUUUAAAAUCAGCAACUUCUGAAAAUCCUUGAGGCAUGACCACCCGAUCUGUACGAUUAAAUUAGUAAAAGUGGGCUAGGAGCGGGCUGUGGAAUAUUAGCAAAAACUUGUAGUUAGCGUCUGUGUGCUCCACAAAGCGAGUUCUACCACAGAACAGACAGACAAACAGUACUCUGUCGGUGGAUACGGUGGUUUGGGGAAGGCAGGUGAGCACAAUACAUCCAGGCCCCUGAGGACGAUGGCAGAGGGUGAGACAGAGCUGAGGCCCUGGACCCACUCUCUGGGUGUCAAGACUCCCCCUAGUGAAGGCAGCUGCCUCAGAGUUCAUCUACACAGGAGGAAGCUGGUCAGGGACCAGCAAGGUCUUCAAAACAUAGCCCGGACGGAUGUGCGGAAAGCUGACCAGGAAAAGGAUGGAGCCAAAAAAAAGGACGGAGGCCUGAGGUGUCAGGGGACAGAAAGCCAAGCCUUCAGUCCGACUGGAAGACCCGCUGUAACCUGGUAGUGAGGUUAUGGGGGAGCAGCAGCCCUCACCACCUCCAACCACCUCCAACCUUCUACCAUGGCAACCCUGAGGAGUUCUGUAUCGCCACAGCAGCUGAGGUCAGUCCACAGCGAGCAUGCCUCUAGGUCAGUACCUUAAAAGGUAACAACAAGCAGGUGAAGGGGCCUGGCUGGCUUCUUCAGUACAGUGUGCAACUCCGAAUCUCAGGGCUGUGAGUUUGAGCCCCGUGUUGGGAGGAGAGAUUACUUAAAACACGAAACACACCAAGCUGGUAAUAAAAACCACGGGGAUGACACGGUUUAAUCUUCACAACAGCACGCUGAGAUUGGUAUCAUCACCCUCUCAUCUGAAUGAGGAAAUCAAAGCCCAGAGCCGCUCAGACUCAAGUGAAUCAAGGCAGAACCUGAGUUUAGGACGUGAAUUCUGUCGGAUUCUGAACCCAAGUGCGCUCUGCUGUCGGGAGUUAGCAAUUCCUCAGUGGGGCAGGGAUUGAGUUUUUAAAAUUUUUGUUUUACUUUUAUUACUUGUAUGCUACUCACUUCAUGUCCUGCUCUGGAACACACACAGCUUUUGGCACUUCAUUGUAUUUUAUCAAAAGCGUUUUCUGGGCGGGGGAGGAAAGCUAGAUGGAUGUUGGAAUAUGGGAGCCAGCUUUCCGGUUCUUUUGCUUUUAAUUAUUUUGAUUGACAUGUGGCAUUGCUCUCAAUGUCUAAUGGCCUCUCGCGUCUUUGAGCUGCAGAAGAAUCAGUCCCUAGGAAUCUGUCACAGCACUCAUCUCCAGGGCCCCGG